AGAACAAUGUUCUGAAUGGAAAACCAGGACGGAGGACUUUUUCUUCUUUAAAUGAGGAAGUUGUGUUUUUUAAAAUGGACUUAAGGAAGUCUAACUUUUGGAUCAAACCAGCUCAAGAGGCUUUGAAUAAACAAAAAGAAGGCAGAAAAAUUGCUGAAUCCUUAACCAACCUGAAAGACAACUUGUUGCUAACGUGCUAAUGACCACCUCCUCAUCUGCUCUCACAAAGAAGACACAUGCAUCAGCGCAUCAUCACUACACAUGAUUCCUAUCCAUCCCAUUCU
rnacentral:lncRNA from 1 species